CCUACGGGAGGCAGCAGUGGGGAAUUUUGGACAAUGGGGGCAACCCUGAUCCAGCCAUGCCGCGUGAGUGAAGAAGGCCUUCGGGUUGUAAAGCUCUUUCGGCCGGGAAGAAAUCGCUCAAGCUACUACCUUGGGUGGAUGACGGUACCGGAAGAAGAAGCACCGGCUAACUACGUGCCAGCAUCCGCGGUAAUACGUAGGGUGCGAGCGUUAAUCAGAAUUACUGGGGCGACGCCAUAAGACAGAUGCGAAAUCCCCGGGCUUAACCUGGGAACUGCGGUUGUGACUGUGGUGCUCGAGUGCGGCAGAGGGGGGUGGAAUUCCACGUGUAGCAGUGAAAUGCGUAGAGAUGUGGAGGAACACCGAUGGCGAAGGCAGCCCCCUGGGUCGACACUGACGCUCAUGCACGAAAGCGUGGGGAGCAAACAGGAUUAGAUACCCCUGUAGUC
rnacentral:rRNA from 1 species